UAACAGCAUUAUUUGCGACUUUUUUAAAAAAAUUAUUUAGACUUUCAUUUUGACUUUAGCUAUUUAGCUGAGCUGGUUAGAGCAACAUACUAACAAGGCCAAAAACACAGGCAUGUAUUUUUUAAAGGCUGGCUAAACCUUACACCAUUCUGUGAUUAUAGAUUGUCCCUCCAACCCCAGCUUGCCACUUUUAAAUGCAUUCCUCUAGUCUCAAGGGGUAUUUUGUAAGAGCAUGGAGCAAAUCAAUGGAAAUCGAUUUCCUAUUGGAAAAAAUUCAAAUUUUAUGACCUACAUCUCAUGAGUAGCUAGCAUCUUUGCAUAUGGCCAGACCUAAUUAAUCCAUUCAUUUUCAAGUGUAGCUGCCUACAUGGAUGUCAGGAUAAAACAAGUUUAUUUUAUAACAUUGUUUACACAUGGCAGAUCAGUAGGCUGAAAUCUAUUUCUGGGGGCAGGACAUUUAUUGUUCGAUAAUAUUCAAUAUUGCUUUUCCAUGUUUUCCAAGAUGUUUCAAGAAGGAAAAAAAAGAAAAGAUAUUCUCCUGCUAAAGAUUUAUCACCUUAUAACUAACCAGGAAACUUCUAGAAUUACAUUCACCAUUAAUAAUUCAAUCUAUUAAAAUAAGGAAGCCAUUCUGGAAAACACGUCAGAAAAUAGUAGUGGGGAACUGCAGUUAGAGGCUUGAGUCAUGAACUUGUCAUCUGCUGUUCCCCUACUCAGGUCUUGACUAGAUUUUUAAUUUUUUUUCAAAAACCAUAAGGUAUGUUCUUUUAUUUCCAAUAUCCAUGUAGCACUUUUCUCAGAUUGAUGCUCAUAUUUGAAGCCUGUCCUAGUCCUUCUUAUUCUUUUCUGAUACAUUAUUUUGGAGGGGAGGUUAUAAUAUUAUUUUAGGCUCAAUCAAGGUUGUGUAAGAAAAGCAACAGAGUUUAGAACAUUGAUGUCAUGAGAACAUUUAACUCCUCUAGUUAUGUUUUUAUAUCUAUAAAAUUUAGGCAUUGAUUUUCUCCAUCUUAGGUUUCUUGUGUAAAUGGAGGUCAGUAGCACAUUAAAUAAACUAGUACAGUGUAGCAUGUAGCAUGUAGCACACAGUAAAAUUUAAUGCGAUUGUGGUCACUUACGAUCAUCAUACACUGAGAAGCCUGAGACUAAUUGCCUUUCUGGGGUUAAUGAGCAAGCUAUAGAGAACUGGGAUGAUACCUGAUAACUAGGUCAUUUCAUGUUGUAAGGUAUCAUGAAGCAUUAAAUAAGCAGAGUUAAAAUUCUGGGUAAACUAUAUCAAACCAUUAUACAUUUCAUACUUGAACAGAUAUUAAUAUUGCAUUGGAGAUAUUUCAUACAUAUAAUUUUAUAAUGCUCCAAACACAAUUGGUGAAAUGACCAGUGUUAUGUUAGAAAUAUUUGUGCCAUCAUUGGCUCAUUCAUUUACUGAUCACCAUAAAGGGAGGGACAUUGGGAAAAGGGAAUAAUAAGUUCUAACUGAAGGAAAUAAUAUACAAGGCAGUCCAUAAUUACAAUAAAGUUUAAUUAUAAUAUUUAAUACCAAAUAAUUGGAUACAUGUAAAAGUUCUUUGUAAAUGUUAUCAUAAUAAUGACAAUAAAGGAUUGCAUGAAAACUAUUAGAUAAGGUGUCCAUUUAAUCACUUGUGACCUUUAAGACAGCAGCUUCAGCAGAAUGCCUCCUUUAAUGUUAUUUUUAAUUAUUGAAAAUACUAAAGAGAUACAUAUUUUAGUGAGAAUUACACAAAAUGUUUGGAAAAUGGACAUGAGGCUUUUUGUAAAAGUGCUUGAAUUUGACCAGACUGGAAAAUGGGAUGGAUGUUCUAGUUUAUUAAUGGGAUAUUCUAGUAUUGUGAGUUUGAGGGUUCACUGCCUUCUGGAGAAUACUGAGAACAAAUCUUAUGUGUUUUAAUCAGUAUAGAUUUUUUAAAAUAAGAGGAAGUAAAUGAUAUGGAUGGAUUCCCAUGAUUAGACCAAACUAUUAAAGGAAGCAGAGAGCCAGAAAGCAAACUUGUUUUGUGCCAAUAUGGGCAUUUUGCUUUGUUUUUUCAACUUCAGACUACAAUGCGAAUAAACUGAUUUCCAGCACUGUUCUUAACUGAGUGAGAAUAAUUUAGAAAGAGACAGAGAUACACAUUGUUCAAAAGCUAGUUCUAAUGGGAAAAUAUGAAUAAGUACAAUCCAAAGAAAUUUGAAAAUCUACAUUACAGAUACUAGGACCAAAUUUGGAGGUAAAUGACUUGGUUUAUAAAAUCUAAUUUUUUACUGUAUAAGGAGGAAGUUCACACAUUUUAUUAUAACAAAGGAUAGCAAUAAUCCUUUUGGAUUAUUUUAUGCAGGUACUUCUCUGGUUUGACACUUUAUGAUAAAGAUUAGAAUCAGUUAUACAUGGAAUUAAAUUGACUGUAAUUUUAGACAAAGUUUAUCAAUUGCUCCCUAUUAAGUAGAGUGUUCAGACCCUAAGUGAGGCAGAAAUUUUGAGGUAUCUGAUGGCCUCCACUUGUUUGAGAAGCCUCAUAUCUGUGGCAGGAUGAGCUACCGUUACCUGAAAUUAGGAGGAGGCACUCUGAAAUUCCUCUUGCAGAGCAAUCUCUUGUUAUUCAGCUUUUUGUGCUGUUUUGUUUUAUUACCUCAUCUCAGUUUAUCUUUGGUGUGACCAUGAAAAUUUAUAUCAACAGA